UACGUAGGGGGCGAGCGUUGUCCGGAGUUACUGGGCGUAAAGGGCAUGCAGGCGGUCGGACGCGUUUUUGUGUGACAGCGGGUGGCUCAACUACCCGAGCAUGCGAAAGACGGUCGGACUUGAGGACUCGAGAGGGACACGGAAUUCCUGGUGUAGCGGUGAAAUGCGCAGAUAUCAGGAGGAACACCAAUGGCGAAGGCAGCUCGCUGGGACGUGACUGACGCUGAGACGCGAAAGCGUGGGGAGCAAACAGG
rnacentral:rRNA from 1 species